rnacentral:rRNA from 1 species
GAUGAACGCUGGCGGCGUGCCUAAUACAUGCAAGUCGAGCGAACAGGCGAGGAGCUUGCUCCUCUGACGUUAGCGGCGGACGGGUGAGUAACACGUGGAUAACCUACCUAUAGGACUGGGAUAACUUCGGGAAACCGGAGCUAAUACCGGAUAAUAUAUUGAACCGCAUGGUUCAAUAGUGAAAGACGGUUUUGCUGUCACUUAUAGAUGGAUCCGCGCCGCAUUAGCUAGUUGGUAAGGUAACGGCUUACCAAGGCAACGAUGCGUAGCCGACCUGAGAGGGUGAUCGGCCACACUGGAACUGAGACACGGUCCAGACUCCUACGGGAGGCAGCAGUAGGGAAUCUUCCGCAAUGGGCGAAAGCCUGACGGAGCAACGCCGCGUGAGUGAUGAAGGUCUUCGGAUCGUAAAACUCUGUUAUUAGGGAAGAACAAAUGUGUAAGUAACUAUGCACGUCUUGACGGUACCUAAUCAGAAAGCCACGGCUAACUACGUG